AGAGUUUGAUCAUGGCUCAGGAUAAACGCUGGCGGCGUGCCUAACACAUGCAAGUCGCACGUCCUGCCCCUUCGGAGGCAGGCAGUGGCGGACGGGUGAGUAACACGUGGGUGACCUACCCCCAGGUGAGGGAUACCGGCGAGAAAUCGCCGACAAUACCGCAUAGGCUGCGCUCUCACAAAGCGAGUGCAGCAAAGCUCCACUUCGGUGGGGCGCUUGAGGAUGGGCCCGCGGCCGAUUAGCUAGUUGGGGAGGUAACGGCUCACCAAGGCGCCGAUCGGUAGCUGGUCUGAGAGGACGAUCAGCCACACUGGGAUUGAGAACGGCCCAGACUCCUACGGGGGGCAGCAGUGAGGAAUUUUCAGCAAUGGACGCAAGUCUGACCGAGCAACGCCGCGUGCAGGAGGACGCUUUUCGGAGUGUAAACUGCUUUUCUGAGGGAAGAGUGUCGGACGGUACCUCAGGAAGAAGCCCCGGCUAACUACGUGCCAGCAGCCGCGGUAAUACGUAGGGGGCGAGCGUUGUCCGGAGUUACUGGGCGUAAAGGGCCUGUAGGCGGUUGUGCGCGUUUGUGGUGACAGCUCCCGGCUUCACUGGGAGAGAGCCGCGAAGACGGCACAGCUAGAGGGCCAGAGAGGGACAUGGAACUCCGGGUGGAGCGGUGAAAUGCGUAGAGAUCCGGAAGAACACCAAAGGCGAAGGCAAUGUCCUGGCUGGUACCUGACGCUGAGGGGCGAAAGCUAGGGGAGCGAACGGGAUUAGAUACCCUAGUAGUCC
rnacentral:rRNA from 1 species